rnacentral:rRNA from 1 species
UAUAAUCUGGCACCUUCGGUGUCCGAGUUGUAAUCUCUAGAAGUGUUUUCCGCGUUGGACCGCACACAAGUCUGUUGGAAUACAGCGGCAUAGUGGUGAGACCCCCGUAUAUGGUGCGGACGCCCAACGCUUUGUGAUACACUUUCGAAGAGUCGAGUUGUUUGGGAAUGCAGCUCAAAUUGGGUGGUAAAUUCCAUCUAAAGCUAAAUAUUGGCGAGAGACCGAUAGCGAACAAGUACCGUGAGGGAAAGAUGAAAAGCACUUUGGAAAGAGAGUUAACAGUACGUGAAAUUGUUGGAAGGGAAACGCUUGAAGUCAGACUUGCUUGCCGAGCAAUCGGUUUGCAGGCCAGCAUCAGUUUUCCGGGGUGGAUAAUGGUAGAGAGAAGGUAGCAGUUUCGGCUGUGUUAUAGCUCUCUGCUGGAUACACCUUGGGGGACUGAGGAACGCAGUGUGCCUUACGGCGGAUUUCUCGAGAUCUUCACACUUAGGAUGCUGGUGGAAUGGCUUUAAACGACCCGUCUUGAAACACGGACCAUCCUGCUUAUUU